rnacentral:lncRNA from 1 species
CAUUUUUUUCUGUGAAAUAUGUAUAUUAGUAAAGCAUGGAUAUGUUUCUCAAUGUGGACAUAUUAUGAGUGCUCCCUUUUUCCAAGAAGCAUAAAGUGUGUAGUAUAAAGUAUAUAUACUUCAUAGAAGUAUGUAUACAUGUCCAUGAAUGUCAUAGAGAGAGGAAGAAGGGAGUUAUAAAUUACAUGUGUGUGUGCAUUUCUCUCUUCAUGUAAAUAGGGAAGGGUGGUUACACAAUUUGGGAGUAUGUUUUUGGAAAAACAAGAGUUAACCUAAAUAAGGAAACACUGAUUAGCAUGGGUGAUCAUACAAACAACUGGGUAAUAAAAACAUGUUAUGAGAGUUAAAUUUUCAAGGGAAAUCAACAUGAAAACUCUACUCCUACUCCCUCCGCCGCUGCUAGGUGACUCUACUACCCACAGCGAGAUGGUUCUGAAGCACAACGAGAAGAAGAGAAAACUAAGGCACUGACUUGAAUAAGUGAGAGAGCACAAUGGACAGCAUCGAGCUCCUGAAGAUGGAGGCAAAAGGGAGAGGAGAAAGUCAUCGAAAGGCAAGAGAAGACUGGGAGUUCUGAAGAUGAAUUUUCAUGGGACAGUUUUGACUACUGCCUCUCUUAGUCACAGAAAGCAGCUAACGGGAGAAAGGAGGGUAAUUUACAAAAAAGAAAAUUUGGAAUUUGGGGGAAAGCCACAUCUUUUUGAAAGUUAAUACUCAAAAGAGCUGCAAUCACACAUCUGUUUUCUUGUUUGGUUUACAAUCGAGGGAAUGGGAACAGAAAAUUCCAUGAAAUUGAAUGACACUUCAUGUUGAUAAGCAUUUCUGAAACAAUAUGGUAGCAAUUUGAGGAACACAUUAUACUCUCAAGCUGCAUAAAAAGGGAGCAAAGAAUAUACCCUUUAAUGCUUAAUUUUAAUAAUGAUCUUACUUGUUACAAAUACAGCAUUUCACAAUGAAAGCCUAACUGUGUUUCAGUCCAGUAAUAUGAUAAGACACAGCUUGUAAAAAUGAGAAUUGAGUUUAACUAUGUUCUUGUGUUUUAUUUUCCAUUUAUCAUG